rnacentral:rRNA from 1 species
UACGGAGGGUGCAAGCGUUAUCCGGAUUUACUGGGUUUAAAGGGUGUGUAGGCGGGCUUUUAAGUCAGUGGUGAAAUCUCCGGGCUUAACCUGGAAACUGCCAUUGAUACUAUUAGUCUUGAAUUCUGUUGAGGUAGGCGGAAUAUGUCAUGUAGCGGUGAAAUGCUUAGAUAUGACAUAGAACACCAAUUGCGAAGGCAGCUUACUAAACAGACAUUGACGCUGAGGCACGAAAGCGUGGGGAUCAAACAGG